rnacentral:rRNA from 1 species
GUGUAGGUGUGUGUUCCAGGUAAAUCCGGUUCACUUUAACACUGAGGCGUGACGACGAGGCACUACGGUGCUGAAGCAACAAAUGCCCUGCUUCCAGGAAAAGCCUCUAAGCAUCAGGUAACACGAAAUCGUACCCCAAACCGACACAGGUGGUCAGGUAGAGAAUACCAAGGCGCUUGAGAGAACUCGGGUGAAGGAACUAGGCAAAAUGGUGCCGUAACUUCGGGAGAAGGCACGCUGACACGUAGGUGAAGUGAUUUACUCAUGGAGCUGAAGUCAGUCGAAGAUACCAGCUGGCUGCAACUGUUUAUUAAAAACACAGCACUGUGCAAACACGAGAGUGGACGUAUACGGUGUGACGCCUGCCCGGUGCCGGAAGGUUAAUUGAUGGGGUCAGCGUAAGCGAAGCUCCUGAUCGAAGCCCCGGUAAACGGCGGCCGUAACUAUAACGGUCCUAAGGUAGCGAAAUUCCUUGUCGGGUAAGUUCCGACCUGCACGAAUGGCGUAAUGAUGGCCAGGCUGUCUCCACCCGAGACUCAGUGAAAUUGAACUCGCUGUGAAGAUGCAGUGUACCCGCGGCAAGACGGAAAGACCCCGUGAACCUUUACUAUAGCUUGACACUGAACAUUGAGCCUUGAUGUGUAGGAUAGGUGGGAGGCUUUGAAGUGUGGACGCCAGUCUGCAUGGAGCCGACCUUGAAAUACCACCCUUUAAUGUUUGAUGUUCUAACGUGGACCCGUAAUCCGGGUUGCGGACAGUGUCUGGUGGGUAGUUUGACUGGGGCGGUCUCCUCCUAAAGAGUAACGGAGGAGCACGAAGGUUGGCUAAUCCUGGUCGGACAUCAGGAGGUUAGUGCAAUGGCAUAAGCCAGCUUGACUGCGAGCGUGACGGCGCGAGCAGGUGCGAAAGCAGGUCAUAGUGAUCCGGUGGUUCUGAAUGGAAGGGCCAUCGCUCAACGGAUAAAAGGUACUCCGGGGAUAACAGGCUGAUACCGCCCAAGAGUUCAUAUCGACGGCGGUGUUUGGCACCUCGAUGUCGGCUCAUCACAUCCUGGGGCUGAAGUAGGUCCCAAGGGUAUGGCUGUUCGCCAUUUAAAGUGGUACGCGAGCUGGGUUUAGAACGUCGUGAGACAGUUCGGUCCCUAUCUGCCGUGGGCGCUGGAGAACUGAGGGGGGCUGCUCCUAGUACGAGAGGACCGGAGUGGACGCAUCACUGGUGUUCGGGUUGUCAUGCCAAUGGCACUGCCCGGUAGCUAAAUGCGGAAGAGAUAAGUGCUGAAAGCAUCUAAGCACGAAACUUGCCCCGA